GCAACACCACGCCUACGUCCCACCCCUCACACUUUCAAACGCUCCACCAGUACUACCUCCCUGUGGCCUGUCCAAUUCUGAUGGUCCCUCAGAACUUGCUACCUAUCCCAGAAGCCCCACCCCUGGGGGGUCAUACCUCACCCAACUUUUCCAGCUGCCUUGCCUCCCACCUCCCGGGGUCCUCCCGGAGGCUUCUCUUCUCGAUGCUCCGCCCUGCGCUUCUCCCCUUCUUCUCUUGAACUCCAGGGUACGUGGCUCUUGCGCCCUCUACCGGCCUGAUCCUCCCAGGCCUCUGAGCCCUGGACAGAUAAGCCACUUCUACCCCCAGCCAUCGGAGAACUGGGAAGACUUCACUUCCUUUUAUUUUUUUUUUUUAAAUAUUUUAAUAUUUAUUUUUUUUGACAGACACAACAUCCUUGUUUGUAUGUGGUGCUGAGGAUCGAACCCGGGCCGCACACAUGCCAGGCGAGCGCGCUACCGCUUGAGCCACAUCCCCAGCCCCUUCACUUCCUUUUAGUGUUUCCAAGUCCGCUUAGUUUUUACAAACCUUCGCAAGGCUCCCUGUCCCUUCUUCGGCCUCACCCUCAAAAAGGGCUCCGACAGGAAUGCGCUUGAUUGCCCACUGCCAAAUUUAAAUUUCUUCCAGCGACUGCUCCAUCCUGGCAAGAAACGUAUAGGUUGUUUCUCCUGUUUCACACUAAUCUACUUUGCUCCUUUGCCCGUCUGGCGAGUCUUUUUCGCGUAUUCUGGAGCCACCUGCUUCCCCACUCUCUCCUGGCUGUUAGGUCCCUUUCAUCCUCGCUGGCCCAAUUUAAGCACAGGACCCCAUCUGAAUAAACGAAAAUUUGCAGAACACCUAUGAUGUAGGGUAAUAUUGUUUCAUUCAUUUGAUUUAAUCCUCAAGCUACCCUUGGAGAUAGAUAUUUUUGGAGAAGUGACUUUGACCAGUGUCAGGAAAAAAUUCAGGAAAAAAUGGCAGCUCCUGCUGACUCAAAUUCAGAUUUUAGGCAGGCAUGGU
rnacentral:lncRNA from 1 species